AUACGUAGGGGGCGAGCGUUGUCCGGAAUUACUGGGCGUAAAGGGUGCGUAGGCGGUUUGGUAAGUUGGAUGUGAAAUACCCGGGCUUAACUUGGGGGCUGCAUCCAAUACUGUCGGACUUGAGUGCAGGAGAGGAAAGCGGAAUUCCUAGUGUAGCGGUGAAAUGCGUAGAUAUUAGGAGGAACACCGGUGGCGAAGGCGGCUUUCUGGACUGUAACUGACGCUGAGGCACGAAAGCGUGGGGAGC
rnacentral:rRNA from 1 species